AGCGAACGCUGGCGGCAGGCCUAACACAUGCAAGUCGAGCGGCCGUAGCAAUCCGGCAGCGGCAGACGGGAGAGCAACACGUGGGAACGCGCCCUUCGGUUCGGGAUAACUCAGGGAAACUUGGGCUAAUACCGGAUCCGCCCUUACGGGGAAAGCUUUAUUGCCGAAUGAACGGCGCGCGUCCGAUUAGCUUGUUGGUGAGGUAACGGAUCACAAAGGCGACGAUCGGUAGCUGGUCUGUCAGGAUGACCAACCGCACUGGGCCGGGGACGCGGCCCGGAGUCGUACGGGAGGGAGCAGUGGGGAAUAUGGGACAAUGGGCUCAAGCCUGAUCCAGCCAUGACGGGUGAGUGAGGAAGGCCGUAGGGGUGUAAAGCCCUGUCAGCGUGGAAGAUAAUGACGGUACCCGCAGAAGAAGCCCCGGCUAACUUCGUGCCAGCCGCCGCCGUAAAAC
rnacentral:rRNA from 1 species